GAUCUGAAACUCAAAGCCUCAUCUCUGCCUUAGGGGAUGGCAUUUGCUCAUCAGAGUGUGUUACCUUCUCUCCACCUCAGGUUUCAUCAUCUGAAAAUGAGAAGGCACAGCCCAGGCCCAGGAGGCAGGAGACCUGGGUCCUGCCCUGCCACCUGCCAUCACCUUCUCAGGAAACUUGCAGAGACGCAUCUAACUGCCCUGCACCUCAAUCUCUGGUACUGCAAAACUGGGACUCAUCGUUCAGAUGCGAGCUCCUACUAUCAAGAGGUGGAGUUUAUUUUCCCAUUGCUGAAUAUGGGUUGACCUUGUGAGGGGCGUUGACCAGAAGAAUGCAGUGAAGGUGACAUCAUGCAACUAGACCUUAAGAGACAGUGCAACUUUCACUGGGGCUGUCCUGAAGCACUGACCAGAAACCUCAGAUCAGGAAACUGGUCUAGCCUUCCAGAAGACGAGAGUCCCCAGGGAGGAGCAUCAGGGUUUCCAAUCAAGUGUCCCAGCACAGCUGCUAGACAUGCGCCUGAGGCCAUCUUGGGACCUUCCAGCUGAGACAAGCAGAAAAUCACACAGCCAACUUAACAAAAUUGU
rnacentral:lncRNA from 1 species